CUACGGGGUGCACCAGUGAGGAAUAUUGCACAAUGGGGGGAACCCUGAUGCAGCAACGCCGCGUGGAGGAUGACGCAUUUCGGUGUGUAAACUCCUUUUAUAUGUCAAGAAAAUGACGGUAGCAUAUGAAUAAGCACCGGCUAACUCCGUGCCAGCAGCCGCGGUAAUACGGAGGGUGCAAGCGUUACUCGGAAUCACUGGGCGUAAAGGACGCGUAGGCGGGUUGGAAAGUCAGGUGUGAAAUCCUACAGCUUAGCUGUAGAACUGCACUUGAAACUUCUAAUCUAGAGUAUGGGAGGGGGAGAUGGAAUUAGUGGUGUAGGGGUAAAAUCCGUAGAUAUCACUAGGAAUACCUAAAGCGAAGGCGAUCUCCUGGAACAUUACUGACGCUAAGGCGUGAAAGCGUGGGGGGCAAACAGGAUUAGAUACCCCGGUAGUC
rnacentral:rRNA from 1 species